UACGUAGGGUCCGAGCGUUGUCCGGAGUUACUGGGCGUAAAGCGCGCGCAGGCGGCCCCCCAAGUCUGGCGUGAAAGCCCCCGGCUCAACCGGGGAGGGUCGCCGGAGACUGGGGGGCUUGGAGGCGGUAGGGGCCGGUGGAAUUCCCGGUGUAGUGGUGAAAUGCGUAGAGAUCGGGAGGAACACCCGUGGCGAAGGCGGCCGGCUGGGCCGGCCUCGACGCUGAGGCGCGAAGGCGUGGGGAGCGAACGGG
rnacentral:rRNA from 1 species